UACGUAGGGUGCAAGCGUUAAUCGGAAUUACUGGGCGUAAAGCGUGCGCAGGCGGUUGAUGAUAAGACAGGUGUGAAAUCCCCGGGCUUACCUGGGAACUGCAUUUGUGACUGCGUCGCUGGAGUGCGGCAGAGGGGGAUGGAAUUCCGCGUGUAGCAGUGAAAUGCGUAGAUAUGCGGAGGAACACCGAUGGCGAAGGCAAUCCCCUGGGCCUGCACUGACGUCAUGCACGAAAGCGUGGGGAGCAAACAGGG
rnacentral:rRNA from 1 species